rnacentral:rRNA from 1 species
GAUGAACGCUGGCGGCGUGCCUAAUACAUGCAAGUCGAACGAACAGACGAGGAGCUUGCUCCCCUAAGGGUAGCGGCUGACGGAUGAGUAAGACAUGGAUAAGCUACUAAUUAUUCGGGGAGGACUUCGGGAAACCAGAGCUGAUACCAGCGAAUAUAUUCUACCGGAUGGUUCAAUAGUGAAUGGCAGAUUUGCUGUUUCUUAUAGAUGAAUCCGUGUCGCAUUAGCUAGUUGGUAAGGUAACGGCUUACCAAGGCAACGAUGCGUAGCCGAGCUGAGAGGGUGAUCGGCCACACUGGAACUGAGACACGGUCCAGACUCCUACGGGAGGCAGCAGUAGGGAAUCUUCGACAAUGGGCGAAAGCCUGACCGAGCCACGCCGCGUGAGUGAAGAAGGCCUUCGGAUUGUAAAACUCUGUUAUUAGGGAAGAACAGCUGCAUAAGAAAAUCUGAACGUAUUGACGGUACCCAAUCAGAAAGCAACGGCUAACUACGUG